UAAAGGCUGCACCACUACGAUCGGCUG
rnacentral:piRNA from 1 species